rnacentral:rRNA from 1 species
UACGGAGGGUGCAAGCGUUGUUCGGAUUUAUUGGGCGUAAAGGGCGUGUAGGCGGUUUGUUAAGUCUGAUGUGAAAGCCCCGGGCUCAACCCGGGAAGUGCAUUGGAAACUGGCGAACUUGAGUACGGGAGAGGGCAGUGGAAUUCCUAGUGUAGGAGUGAAAUCCGUAGAUAUUAGGAGGAACACCGGUGGCGAAGGCGGCUGCCUGGACCGAUACUGACGCUGAGACGCGAAAGCGUGGGGAGCAAACAGG